GUUUUUUACACAGCUCUUUGCUCUUUUGUCAUGCUGUGUUUUUCAAGAGACUCAAACCCGUGUGCUCCACAACAUCAUCUCUCUUCAAUGAUUCAGUUAUCUUUACCAAAAAUUUACAGUAAAUGCAAAAACACUGAAGGAUGUCAUCAUGUGAGACACAAACUAAAUGAGUCAAAACAAACUGAAAGUUUAUAUUUAAAAAACCUGACCGAUGUUGCUGAUAUCUGCUGAUAUGUACAUAAACACACAUUAAUGAAAUUUAAAUGUCUGUAUGUUUGACCAUUUUGUUUCUCUCUCUUACAGUUUCACUUCAGGGUGAGGGUGUGACUGGAAGAUCUCAUUCAUGUCGUUCUCUCACAGUGACAGAAAAAGAUCAAGAUAAAAAUAGAAACGGAGUUGCUGUCAAAAAGUGAGUUGCUGUCAUUUGUUUCUCGCUAAACCCACUCACUGUCAUCUGCUCACUCAGCAGCUCAUCUGGUCUGACAACUAUUUGGAAAGUUAAAGUCUCUGCUUCCAUCAAUCCAAUCCAGUAUAGCACUGUGUGUCUACAAGCACUGCAGUCUGUGAGGAUAAAUAUGAGAGAGAGCGAGGAACUAUGCGGCAGAUCUUUCUGGAUUUCUGGAUCCCAGAUAUGAAGACAAAUAUAUCUCCACACAGGUCUUGAUUGAGGAUGUUACUGGAAGCUCUGUGUUCUUGUCCUGCUCUUACAGUGACUAUAAACUGAAUUCAAGCAAGACUGUUUUGAGACCCAGUUAAAGCAGGAAUAUAUUAAACAUCAUUCAGAGAAAUGAUUCACUCGAGGAUCAGGAUCCAGAAUACAGCGUUCCCCAGAAGAGUCGACGAAAGAAAGCUUCACUCCAGCACUCAUUUGCUGCUUCAUCUGUGUGUUUGCAGUGCUGGUAAAUAAAGUGUGUCUGCAGGUCACAGUAGAGGGUUUUAUUGGUGGUUCUGUCGUUCUGCCGUGUUCUUCUGCUAAACAUGAUCUUAAACCUCAAGACAUUAAUGUGUAUUGGCUAUAUAGUGGCCACACAAAUGUGUUUGAUAUAAUCAAGGGUGAAGAUUCAGAAGCAGGACAAAACCAGCGGUACAAGAACAGAACUAAAACCUUCCCUGAUGAGUAUCUGAGAGGAAACUUCUCCCUCAGACUCAUCAAUCUUCAACACACUGAUGCAGGAAAAAUACACCUGUCUCAUCACACACUCAUCUGAAAGAAAUACUGUACAGCUGAUCCUCAAAGAAUCAACAACAGAGAAAGGAAAUAAAACCCAAGUAGAAACGGAUCCAGAUGUGGUGAAAUCAUCAUAUUUGCACUGGGGUUACAUUGCAGUACCUGUAUUAUUAAUACUAGUGUUUAUUAUUGCUGGUUUCAUCAUAUUUAACUAUAGAAAAAGACCUCAAGCUCGCUCUUUCUCAUCAGCCACAACUGCAGAACAAACAACAGCAACAUAAAUAGAUCUAAAAGUUUCAUUUUACACUUUCUCUGAAUCGUUACAUCUUUUAUUGGUUCCUUCUGGUGUAAAAAACAGCUAGUGUAUAAGACAGUGUGAUGUUCUUUUAUUUUAUUGCCACAUGUAGGGUUUUUUUUUUUUUUGUGUAUAACAGAAUAAGAUCUUGACGCUUUUUUUAUAUUUCAGUGAUGUCUGAAUCUGACAGUAUGUUGCCCUAACAUUUCUGUACCACAGGUGCUCUUUCUAGUUGUGUUUGACAGAAUACAUGUAUUUUGUGUUCUUUCUGUAUUAUUUUUAUAUUUGUUAAAUUGUUGCUGCACAUCAUUCACCAGAUCUGAUUCAUUAUUUCAUGAUAACACAUCAGUUUUAUUUCUGUGUAUGUACAGAAAAAAAACACAUAAAGAUGUUUCUCAGGGUUUAGAUCUGUUACACAGCUCUGCAGACUGAUGUCAGAAGAGCACAAUAUUUGCUUCAUAUGGACUAUUUGAGUUUCGAUAAGUUUAGUUCUACUAGUUAUGUGUCUGUUCAUGUAAAUGCAUGAGCUUCAUGAGUGUGAAAAGAUGCCUUUAGAUCUCUUAAAUAUACUGCAGUAUUCUCAGGUAUUCAGAGCUUAAGAAACUUGUGUUUCAUUGUAUGUGGAUGAUCUCAAUGUUAAACACUCAUAAAUUGUGCAGAUAAAAUAAUACAUCUGUUGUGUUCACUUGAUCAUAUUUCUAAAAUAA